AUGAGGAUUUACACGGAGAGAUGUAGGUGGGAGGCAUGCACGGAUAAUGGCGGCAGCAGUCGAGGUGCCUCUUCUUUGUGUGUUGCCUUCCAUGUCUUUCUAUCCAUAGCGAUAGCAUUUGCUUUGUGGAUGGCUCUCCUUGCAGUGCAAUCGCGAGGCUCCCCCCAUGGCGUGUCCAUGGCGUUGUACACAGUACACCAGCACAAAGAGCAUCCCCGGACACUACUUCAUCUACUAGGAGACGGUGGGCGCCGGCGCCGGCUGGACGGUGGACAAGGAGACCAUCGACGAUCGACGCUUGAGAUGGAUGAGGGACUGAAUGCGGUGUGCAUGCAUGGUAGAGUGGCGGACGGCUCCAUCGGGCUGCUCGAGAUCCGCGUCAUCCCGCCCGGCACGUCCGAGGAGCUGAUGGACUACGCUAUCUCUCAUGGCGCCUCCAUCAACCAAUACAAGGUGCCCUGGUGCUUGACGUUCCCGCCGAUCAUCGAGCUGCGCAUGCUCCACUCGCGCGUGGUGUCUAUCCAGUUUAGCCCUGCCGUGCGGCACUGGACCCCUACUCCCACCCGGCGCACGAAAAAUGGUUGCUGUUGA
rnacentral:rRNA from 1 species